rnacentral:rRNA from 1 species
GGGAGCUUGCUCCUUGAUUCAGCGGCGGACGGGUGAGUAAUACCUAGGAAUCUGCCUGGUAGUGGGGGACAACGUUUCGAAAGGAACGCUAAUACCGCAUACGUCCUACGGGAGAAAGCAGGGGACCUUCGGGCCUUGCGCUAUCAGAUGAGCCUAGGUCGGAUUAGCUAGUUGGUGAGGUAAUGGCUCACCAAGGCUACGAUCCGUAACUGGUCUGAGAGGAUGAUCAGUCACACUGGAACUGAGACACGGUCCAGACUCCUACGGGAGGCAGCAGUGGGGAAUAUUGGACAAUGGGCGAAAGCCUGAUCCAGCCAUGCCGCGUGUGUGAAGAAGGUCUUCGGAUUGUAAAGCACUUUAAGUUGGGAGGAAGGGCAUUAACCUAAUACGUUAGUGUUUUGACGUUACCGACAGAAUAAGCACCGGCUAACUCUGUGCCAGCAGCCGCGGUAAUACAGAGGGUGCAAGCGUUAAUCGGAAUUACUGGGCGUAAAGCGCGCGUAGGUGGUUCGUUAAGUUGGAUGUGAAAUCCCCGGGCUCAACCUGGGAACUGCAUCCAAAACUGGCGAG